ACGUUCUUAGAUAAUUUGGGCCUAUUAUAUUUUGUAAAUUAGCAAAAGAAGACAAAGCAGCUCGCGUAAUCGAAUGGCAAUGAAAAUUACAUAAGUAAAAGAAACCAGCUGAUUAUUUAUCGUGUUCAGGUUUCUUUUGCAAAUUCGAGGAUUUACGAAGAAUUUCGCUCCGCGGGGAAUUUCGGGACGGCCGUAAAAAAAACAAAAAAAUGGAUGAAAUAAAAACGAAACAGGGAUGGAAAAAGAAAGACCGAAAAGGGAAUAAAUGAAUAAUCAGAUGCGGGAAUGCCGUUGCGUCUGAACAUGGGAACAAGCCGAAAUCUGGAGUUGUAGCAGAGAUAAGCUGAAGCCAACUGGCUACUGUUCGGACCCUAAUUAAAACAGAACAGUGAGAAUUAAUCACCGAGGGACAAAAGUCUCUAAUGAAUCGUACAUAAGGCUCGACCAUUGUUACCCAUGCUUUGAAAUUGUAAGAACCCCGUGUUGAACAUGACAAUACGAGGCUUUAGCUAAUUCUCCGCGGAGUUCCUUCAAAUAUCUGGACGUUUGAGGUUAUUUACGUCUUCCAGUAAAGCGACUUCAAAGGGGAUCGUUGGCAACCGUCUUUGGCGAGGUUUCUAAACGUUUUUCGACGUUUAUUGGUUAAGUCCUAUAAAAAUCGACGGGAUAUAAAUAAUGAGCUUUCAGUCAUGCAACAACGGCGUUCUAACGCGGCAUGAUGAAUGGUGUGCAAGGCUGAACAACGAAAACCCUCUUUGUCAUACAUUUACGGUCAUACAUUCUGUGGGGGAGGAACAAACCAUUUGCAACAUUUCACAUAUGUAAACCACCGAUACCAAAAAAAGAGCAAAUCAUAAAAUGUACAUCGAAAAAACCACAGUUACAGAGAUCAUGACGUGUGACAAAAUAAUAGUCGAAAAUUGUCGUAUACGCAGAUAAUCAGUUAAGUUAUAAGGAACAUAAUAUU